rnacentral:rRNA from 1 species
CCUACGGGUGGCAGCAGUGGGGAAUAUUGCGCAAUGGGCGAAAGCCUGACGCAGCGACGCCGCGUGAGGGAUGAAGGUCUUCGGAUCGUAAACCUCUGUCAGCAGGGAAGAACGGUCACUGUGCUAAUCAGCAGUGAAUUGACGGUACCUGCAAAGGAAGCACCGGCUAACUCCGUGCCAGCAGCCGCGGUAAUCCGUAGGGUGCGCGCGUUAAUCGGAAUUACUGGGCGUAAAGCGCUCGUAGGCGGUAUGUCAAGUCAAGGGUGAAAGCCCCGCGCUCAACGUGGGAACUGCCUUUGAAACUGGCAAACUGGAGUGUGUGAGAGGAUAGUGGAAUGCCAGGUGUAGGAGUGAAAUCCGUAGAUAUCUGGAGGAACAUCAGUGGCGAAGGCGACUAUCUGGCACAUAACUGACGCUGAGGAGCGAAAGCGUGGGUAGCAAACAGGAUUAGAUACCCGAGUAGUC